UCUGAGUAUCUGGUGAAUCUUUUAAUUUCAAACCCUGAAAUUCUGCCAAUAGGUAUCGGCAUGAUCAGGUAUCGUGACACAUGUGCUGAAGCCAUUCGUUUCUUCAAAAUGAAAAGCCCUAUUACCGAAAUAUCUGAUGCCUGCAGAAAGUUACUUGAAGUUAGUUGUGAGGAAUUGUUGCCUAGUAUAGUGAAAGGGGAUCAAUCCAAAUCUGUACUCUUUGAUGGUUGUAGACUUGCAUUAGCUUUGAGAAAGAUGAAAAACAGGGAGAUAAUGUGGAAAGUGAUGAGUCAAGUAUGGAUCGAGAUUCUGGCUUAUGCAGCUGCUCACUGCAGAGUGUUCCACCAUUCACAGCAGCUUGGGAGAGGGGGAGAAUUUCUGACUCAUGUUUGGCUUUUGAUGGCACACUUAGGAAUGACAGAGCAUUUCCAGGUAACUCAUGGCCAUGCAAGAGCUAGGUUCAAUGUUUCAUAGGCAUAGCUUGGGAUUAGCAUUUCAUUUGCUUUAAUACUUAUGUAGAUUAACCAUUCUAUUUGUUUGUUUUCUAUUUUCGUAAUUGAAAAAGUUGUGCCUUUCUGCCUAAGUUGGCACACAUUCACUGUCUGUACAUUAAUUAUCCAAUUUUCAUAUUUUUUUGUUCAAAAUUUUAUUGUAUAAUAAUAAUGUUCUUUCAGAAAUUUUUACUCUUGGGUUUCUAAAUAUGUCUUGCGUAAGUGAAAAAGUCAUGAAUGUGUAAUGUUAUAGUGGGUGAUACUGGUUCAAUCUUUUCAAAGUUAUAUCUAGGAAUAUAGUUCAUGUACAACACCUUUCCAAUUUCAUUUUUGCAAAGAGACUGUUUUAUGACUCAAGGAGAGAGCAAUUUCACACAUAAUUAGCUGUAACAAUGUAAGUAAGUGAGGUGAAAAUCUAACACCCAAUAUUAGAGCCCACACUAGGUGGACCUUCACCGGGUGUGUGUAGUGUGUGCUCUACUGCUCUAGAGACCAUGUUUCAGAUACUGACCAACCUCAAUACUGCUCUACUAUGUUAGUUACUACUUAGGGAAAAUGAAUUAAAAGCCCAAUGAAGUUUCCAAACCAUUCAAACAACCUCAAUCAUGUUUUGUAUUAAAAAAAACCCAACGAACUUAACUUUUUGUCUAAAAAAUCCAACAAAGUUCCAAACAGUUCAAAAAAUCCCAAUUUUGUUUUGUUUAAAUUCGUUGGAUUUUUUUUGAACAGUCAAAACAUGAUUGGAGUUCUUUAAACGUUUUGGAAACUUCGUUGGUCUAACAAGUCAUUUUCCCCAUACAGUAAUAAGCUAUGCCAUAUGUUUCUCUUAUUUGACUUUCAGGAAAGUGUAACUUAGUUAAGCUUUUUAGACAAAAGGUUAAGUUUGUUGGGUUUUUUUGAACAGACAAAACAUGAUUGAGUUUCUUUUGAACGGUUUAGAAACUUCAUUGGGCUCGUAAGUCAUUUUCCCUACUACUUAUGAUCAACAUGAUUGUCUUAUCGUUCCAUUUUUUACGACUUGUAAGUUGUAACACACUUGAUAUAUUGUUGAAAACAUGCAUCAAAUUUUGUGUGAUCAACCAUUGAAAUAUUUGGUGGGACAGGUGUAAGGUAAAAAGGGUUGUUGAAUUAGAAGUUGGAUGCAGAGUAUAUGUUUAUGGAUUUUCAAGCUUCUUAAUUAAAAAUUUUAAAAGCUUGUAAAAGUGCACUUAACUUACUGUUUGAAGUCUAAAUUGCAUAACAUGUUCGAUUAGCUCCAGACCUCCAGUAUAUAUUGUAUCGGUUCAUUGAGUUGCCAUCUGGACAGAAUAAAACCUGAGUCAUGUUUCAAGAGUCACAGAAAUUAACCAGUACUUGUAAAAUUAAGAAUAAUGUCUUUUGGGCUUUUCUACUCAAUUCUUUAAAAGCCACAGGCUCUUGAUGCACUAGGGUCACAAUUUUACUACAAGUAAACAAUGAAGAGAACAAAAGAAAGGGAACUUGUGGUGGAUGCAAGUAAAAAACAACUCUAAACCUAUUCUGAAAAUAAGUAACUGAAACGAAACACAGAGUGACUUGAAAUCAAACCUGAAGAUUGAAUUUUGUUUGGAUCAAAAGUAGUUGGCUAUCAUGCUUAUACUCAACAUUAAGACCAGACUAACAGGUGUAUCGUGAUAUAGAGCAGUGGGUGAUUGAUGCCUUAAAAGGCUUAAACUAAACCAGAUGGGUUCGAGAAAACUAUAUCGAUUAUUUUUUUGCUCUCGGUCUGCCUAAACAAGCAGAUAACCGAAAUUCCGCACAUGGGGGGAUACCGGGAUGCUACUAUUCAUGAACGCCGGAAAGCUGAAGUCUACCAUUUAGACAAGAAAACGGUAAAAAAAAACUAGAAAACGGGUGAACAGAAACACUGAAGCAUGAGCUUACAAACCGAAGGUAGCACGGUGUAGAUAAAGAGUUGAUAACUCACAGUUAUGCAGAGGCAAUCUCUGGAUGAACCAUGGGAAGCUGAAACCAUGAAUUAUGAACGUUCGUUUAUACUUCAAGAUGAUAAUAUCUACAACUGUAUUAUAUAGAAAACAACGAAAAAUCAAGCGUUUUUGUCUUUAUGCAUAUAAUACCAAGUCGUGGUUGACCCAAGUCAAGUUUAUCAUUGCUAAUAGUCUAGUCUUUUGAAGCUUUCCGUUAGCUUUCAUCCACCAGGAAAGC
rnacentral:lncRNA from 1 species